rnacentral:misc_RNA from 1 species
GAGGGUCGCGAGACCUCCUAUUGCUCUUAACCAAUCCGCGUACCUGGCUGGAAUCAUGCCUCUGCCUCGGCGGCGGCCCCAGGGGGGGCCUCUUGCCCGCUUCGCUGCUGCACGCGGCGGUGGGUGCUGCCGGCGGCAACCAAACCAAGCAACAUUUUAUAACAUAUCAAGCAUAAAACCUAUUA